rnacentral:lncRNA from 1 species
UAAGGGCGUGUAAUGAAAAUUCUGUUUUUUUUAAGUCCAAAAAAAAUUUUUAGUUCGAAGAAAAAUUGUAUUUCUUGACGUUUCAGGUAAAAAUAAGUUUCCCCGAAAGAAAAAUUUUUUUAUACGCCCUUAUGGCUCCCGGGACUCACCUCGGAUGCUAUAAGGGCGUAUAAAAAAUUUUUUUUUUGGGAACCGACGUACUUUUGUAUUAAAUGUCGAGAAAUACAAAAAAAAAUUUUUCUUCGAACUAAAAAUUUUUUUUGGACUUAGAAAAAAUAAUAGAAUUUUUAUUAUACGCCCUUAUGGCAUCCGAGGUGGGACCUUUUACCGGUAUACUCCCUUAUGGCAUCUGGAACGCGAUAUUGAAAAGAA